rnacentral:piRNA from 1 species
UGUCUGGAGUUGAUACCUGCAGCGGGUAGG